GCCUUUGGGAGUUCUGGUAAAUCCCAACAUGUACCAGUCCCCUCCCCAGUGGGUUGACCACACAGGUGCAGCCUCACAGAAGAAGGCUUUCCGUUCUUCAGGAUUUGGACUAGAGUUCAACUCAUUUCAGCACCAGUUGCGAAUCCAGGAUCAAGAAUUUCAGGAAGGCUUUGAUGGUGGCUGGUGCCUCUCUGUACAUCAGCCCUGGGCUUCUCUGCUUGUCAGAGGGAUUAAAAGGGUGGAGGGCAGAUCCUGGUACACCCCCCACAGAGGACGACUUUGGAUAGCAGCCACAGCUAAAAAACCCUCCCCUCAAGAAGUCUCAGAACUCCAGGCUACAUAUCGUCUUCUUCGUGGGAAAGGUAACAGCCGCAUAUUCUCCUUUCAAUUUUACUUUAUGGAGAGAAGUCAUUGACGUUCAUCUUCUUUCACUUCCUUCUUUCUUUGGCUUUUUCUUUGUUAAAAGAGACUUUUAAUCUUUGUAUAUGUUUGUUUGUUUAGUGGUAAAUCAUUGACAGCGUUCAAAGCAUUAAUCUGUCAAAACAGUGCAAAUAAAAAUAUCAAUUUCCA
rnacentral:lncRNA from 10 species